rnacentral:sRNA from 1 species
CUGAUAUCCCUGCAGAUUCAGCAAUCCUUUGUUCAUCCAGUGCACAGAUACAGCAUGGGGAGCAGCUUUCGCGCAGCCUUUGCCCCUAUAUGCUUCAUCACAGAGCUGAAGGGAUCACCUCUCUUGGUGUGAAGGCUAGUUCAGUCUCCAUGGCCUAUUGAAUCCUUAGCUUCA